rnacentral:rRNA from 1 species
CACGUAGGAGGCGAGCGUUAUCCGGAUUUACUGGGCGUAAAGAGCGCGUAGGUGGUUCCGUUAGUUGGGUGUGAAAGCCCCCGGCUUAACUGGGGAGGGUCGCUCAAUACUGCGGGACUUGAGGGUGGAAGAGGAGAUUGGAAUUCCCGGUGUAGUGGUGAAAUGCGUAGAUAUCGGGAGGAACACCUGUGGCGAAGGCGAAUCUCUAGGCCACUCCUGACACUGAGGCGCGAAAGCGUGGGUAG